rnacentral:rRNA from 1 species
UAGGGAAUCUUCGACAAUGGACGAAAGUCUGACCGAGCAACGCCGCGUGAGUGAAGAAGGUUUUCGGAUCGUAAAACUCUGUUGUUAGAGAAGAACAAGGACGUUAGUAACUGAACGUCCCCUGACGGUAUCUAACCAGAAAGCCACGGCUAACUACGUGCCAGCAGCCGCGGUAAUACGUAGGUGGCAAGCGUUGUCCGGAUUUAUUGGGCGUAAAGCGAGCGCAGGCGGUUUCUUAAGUCUGAUGUGAAAGCCCCCGGCUCAACCGGGGAGGGUAAUUGGAAACUGGGAGACGUGAGUGCAGAAGAGGAGAGUGGAAGUCCAUGUGUAGCGGUGAAAUGCGUAGAUAUAUGGAGGAACACCAGUGGCGAAGGCGGCGCUCUGGUCUGUAACUGACGCUGAGGCUCGAAAGCGUGGGGAGCAAACAGG